rnacentral:rRNA from 1 species
AGUUUGAUCCUGGCUCAGGAUGAACGCUAGCGGCAGGCUUAAUACAUGGCAAGUCGUGGGGCAGCAGGUUUGUAGCAAUACAGAUGCUGGCGACCGGCAAACGGGUGCGGAACACGUACAGAACCUUCCUUUGAGCGGGGAAUAGCCCAGAGAAAUUUGGAUUAAUACCCCAUAGUAUAAUGAAGUGGCAUCACUUUAUUAUUAAAGAUUUAUCACUCGAAGAUGGCUGUGCGGCUGAUUAGGUAGUUGGCGGGGUAAAGGCCCACCAAGCCUGCGAUCAGUAACUGGUGUGAGAGCACGACCAGUCACACGGGCACUGAGACACGGGCCCGACUCCUACGGGAGGCAGCAGUAAGGAAUAUUGGUCAAUGGAGGCAACUCUGAACCAGCCAUGCCGCGUGGAGGAUGAAGGUCCUCUGGAUUGUAAACUUCUUUUAUAUGGGACGAAAAAGGCUUUUCUAAGUCGUCUGACGGUACCAUAUGAAUAAGCACCGGCUAACUCCGUG